ACCUUCUCAGGGUUGCACCUGGAGAGUUUCCAGUACUCUACCAGUCUUGACUACAGGAGGGAGAGUCAAGCAGAGGCCUGACCAUUCCAUUCCUAGCUUCACCAGUGGGUAGCGAGUGGAAGGCAAUCUGCUAUAAGU